rnacentral:miRNA from 1 species
CUUCUCUUCUCUCCUUCCCAG